UGGCUGCUGAAAGGGAAGACUGUGAGUUACAGCUGCUGAGAUGGGUCCCUGCUUGGGGCCUGGAGCGCCAACCUCGGCUACAGACCUGUGGAGGUGGUGGCCGUGCCGUGGGACAGGGUGGACGAGCUGGGUGCCAGGUUGUUCUGCAUGCCAAACACUGCGAAAGCAAUGGAGGGCAGAGGAGAAAGGGACCAGCACAGGACAAGCAGGGGCGUAGAGGACAUUUCUGCGGAAACCAGUUUUCCUCAGCAGGAGGGAUCAUCCUAAUGUUUUAAGCAAACAUUCUGAAAAAGGCCAUGCAAGCUGGCGAGCACUGACCUGAGGAGCAGGUGCUGACCCCGGGGUGCAGCGUGGGAGAGCAGGAUGCCAUGUUAUUUGGAACUCCGAAGACUGCAGGGGAGGAGGAAGGAGUCCAAGACCGAAAGCUCUAUAUCACAGCACACCUGCUCCUUCCCUCCUCUCCCUCUGGGAUCUGCUUAUUCAUCUCUCUGCCCCCCCCCCCCCCCCCCCCACAGAACCUGCCUGGCACUCGGUAGGCAUGUGAACUCAGAGGGUUCUGCAACACUCCUCCUAUCUGACUACCAUCUCCUGGUUAUCGGUCUGAUUUCCCCCCGAGGCCACCCCACCUCCACGAGGGGAAGUAUCUCCUCUCUCUGCUGCUUCUCCUCAGUGCCUGGUACUUGGCAUAGAGGAGGCAAAGGAUAG